UAUAUAUUAAUGUUCACUUCUAAAUACAGGUGCUUGUAAAUGUAAAUAUGCAGAUAUAUCUUUAUGUAUACACACACACACACACAUAUAUACAUAAAUAAAUAUAUAUAUAAUUAUGUAGACAUACACAUACAUAAAUGCAGUACACCUGUGCACACAUAUGUAUGUAUGCAUUUCUCAUAUACAUACACCAUAGAUAUAUAUAUAAACCUAUUCUAGAUCAACCUGUUGAAUUUUUGGCCAGUGAAAGAGUGUGGGAAGGUGCAAUUUUGGUUUUGGUUUCCCUGUUACCUGUAUCUAUUGAGAAAGGUUUUUUAAAAUGUCACUCAACAGGGCUCUUUAAUCAAAAUCUUAUAUACAACAUAAAAAUUCAAAAAAAAAAAACAAAAACAAUAAUAAUGUUUCUAAACUCACAAAUCUUAAAUAUUAACUGAUUUGAAGAGUACCGUAGAAGAGAGUAGGUAAAAAUGCACAACGAAACAUGAAUUUUGUCGUAUAUAACUAAGUUAUAGAGUAAGUAGAUGGGAGAUAUAAGAAUAAUAAUAAAAAAAAAUAAUGUUAUAAAUGAACCUAUGUCUUUGUGUGUUUGCAUAUGUUGUGUAUGUAUGGUAUGAUGGAUUUAGAAAAUAAAUAUCAUUUAGCAAAGGAAAGCAAAUAUGUGAAUGUGUGUUUGUUUCUGAAAGAAGUAUAGAAAGAAAAAAAAAAAGUAGAAGGCAAGAAAUGGUGAGUGUAAAAGUUUAUGGGUGACUGAUUGAGAGCAAGAAUGAAGGGCAGAAAAGCAAAAGGGAACAUGAGAAUGCAUUGUAUUCUUCUAUCAAACCAUAUUUUAUAUCUGUAGAACUUAAACUGUUGCCCAUUAAUGUUGUCUUUGCUAUUUUCCCUGGUUUCUAACACACAUAUACACACAUAUAUAAAAUAACAGAAAACUACUUUGCAAACAGAUGAGCUGUUGUCUUGAUUAUUUUUACCUUUUGUACAUCAUAAACAAAUGUCAUUUACUUUUGUAUACACAUAUGCACUCAGUCACACAUACACAAUCAAUACAAAAUGUAGGCGUCUCUAAUUUUCAUUCUUUUAUUUUAUAUAGAUAUAUGUGUGUAUAUAUAUAUAUAUAUAUAUAUAUUACUUUUUAGUCUGAGAUUUUUACAGGUGGUACAAUACAAGUAAAUUAAUAGUAAUAGUAAUAAUUUAUGAUGGUGUGGAUGGUGAUAAGCUAAGCACCAUGUUGUACCAAUGAUACAUUGAUAUUAGCACACAGUUAUCCAUAAUAUGAAUACAGUGAUAAACUUUGAACAAAAUGCAAUAAUAAUAAUAAUAUUUAUAACAACUAUACAUCAAAAAUGAAUAAUUCAAAGUAAAAAAAAUGUUAAAAAUAAAACUGACUGAAUUCCUCUUAAGUUUUUAUUUGGCGUCACCUAAAGUUUUUUGCUGUGUUUCUAGGAACUUUGUAAUCUCCGUAAUAAUUUUACCAUCUUUCCUUUUUCUAAUGCUCUCAUCUCCUCUUCCCUUCCCACCAUAUUUCCUGUUAUGUUUAUUUCCUUCUUCUCAAUAAGGAUGUCCUUGUUUCAGCCCCUCCUCCUCCUCCAACACAUUUCAGUUCUUGAUUUGUGCUCUGUUUCUGUUUCUUUAACUUUUAGUUUCCUCCUCAUAGAGUUUGCUGUAUUUGAAAUUUCCUCUCUCUCCUUAUUGCUAUUGUGUAGCACCACCCACCCACUCCUGCUCCUAUCCUAAUUGAUCAGACUUAUGAUCAAGGACAUUCCAGUUGUGACCAUCCCAUCUUUUUCUUUGAACAGAGAAACUCAGUACCACUUCAUCUAAUAUAUCUGUUCUCUAAGUGAUUUGGUAAUUUAAAAAUUUUGUUGAUUUUAACCAUCACUAGACCAUGUAGGGAUCCCCCCCCCCCCCAAAUCCUUUAAACUAGCAAAACUUUGAGUAAAAUAAUUCCAGCCAUGAGCAUCCCUGCAAAAUUUUUUCAGGCUAUUUUGUUAUAAUAAUGAAAUUAUUGUAUACAGUGCUCAGGUGCACCACAACUUGUCAGCACUUUCACAUACUUUACUACUUCAUCUUUUAGUCAAGAGGAAAGGUAGCAUUCAUGGCUCUUUACAGAGCCUCUGAGACAAGUGAGAAGAAGGUAUGGAAGUUUCUUUAAACUAGAGACCUAGUUUGAACACUUCUAACAGAGUGGCCUCUAUUGAAAGCAUCCAAAGACCAGGUGGUAAUGGAAUUAAACCCGGCCAUAAAUUCAGUCUAAAACCCAAGUAGAGUACUGCAGGAUUUGAACAGAGCUAGAACAAGUAACACAAAUCAACUUACCAUUCCAUCAGUCCACUGCCUUGGAUCAGUACUUUCUUUGUUGACUCUGAAAGAAUGAAAAAAAAGCAAAGAUGAUCUUGGUGAGAUUUGAACUUUGAGUGCAAAGUUAGAAGGAAUUCUGUAAGGCAUUUUAUUUGAUGCACUAACAACUGUACUAAUACCCAGCCUUUGUUGACCACAUAUAGCCUUUAUUUUAUUUUUACAUUUAUAGGACAAAAAUAUAUUAAGUUUAUUAUAGAUAAGCCAUCUCUGGGGUUAACAUUGACUGAUGUAAAAUGUGACCCUCAUGUCGAGAAUACAGUAACUUUUUUAGACUCAGCUCUGGGAAAUAUAUUAAUUGAAAGAUAUCUUUUUCUGUUGAAUAGGAUCCCAGCCUAUCACAAGUUCAUGUUUUGUUGUUUAUUUUUUUUCUUAGAGGGGGAUUUGAACUCAGUAUUGCUUGCUAAAGAAAUGUCAUUUCAUAAUAUUAUUAUACAGCACUCCUGUAUCUAGCCAUGUUGCUUUCUAACCUUAAAUAAAACUUUCAAAUGCUUUCUAAUCAUUUUCUUUUAAGUUUAAGGUAGUAAAAGAAAAGGGUAUCAUAUAAAGGAGAUUUGACUGUUAUUUCUAGCUAGUUGAAAAACAAUGUUGAGGUACAUAUUAUUAUUAUGGCAUUAUUUCAUCAGACGUUGACAGGUUUGAACGUUUCGUGUCUUUGCCUUACACACCAUGCAAUGUCGGUCACAGGAUAUGAACCUUGCACCAUACUGACUCCUCAGCAGCAAUUCUAUAUCUUUAAUUUACUUUACCUAAUCCAAAAAAUCUUUCAGCUUCAUUUCAUAUUUUUAAUCUUUUCUACUCAAUGUCUUUGUUGUUGUGUUUGUUCACUUUUCCACAUCAGUUUUGCUGUCUAAUUGCUAAUUAUUUAUAUUAAGUUUUAAAUUAAAAAGAACAAAAGAACAAGUGUUUCAACACUACUGUCCAACUUUCAAACUUCAAACAAUUUAUAGCAUUCUAUACGUUUUUUUCAUUCAUCAAUUUAUUCUAGUUUAAUAUUUCUUAUAUUGGAAACUGAUGCUGGAUUUCUUAGUGUUUUUUCUGGGAGUAGAUAGGGAUCAAUUGAUCCCACCCUCUCAUCUUCCCAUCAUUCUUUACAAACUGACUAUAAAUUAUCUAACUUUUUUUUACCCAAUUAUUACUUGAAAAUAUUUCUAAAUAUUUUCCUGAUCAAAUGCAUAUUUAAUUAAUUUUAACAUCUGUUUGUGAAUAUUUUGAUUAUUUUGCUUUCUCUUGUUGUUAUUCAAUAAUAUCGGUGUUGUUUAUGUGAUAUGUUUUUAAGUCUGCAAAAUGAAAUGGUGGAGCUGUUCCUCAUUGCUCUGUACUUAAUUACAUCUGUUGUAUAAUAUUAUUUAUAUAAUUGGUCUUUAAUUAAUUGCUGCUGGAUAGCAUCAACACGUACACAAACACCUACCCUCAAAUACAAACAUUAUUUGAUCUAAUAUAUAAACAUGCAGUAAUAUUUAUAAUGAUAGACAUGUGUAUUGUUUUUGAAUGUGUAUGUGUGUGUCUCUCUCUGUAUUCAUGUAUAAAUACAUGAAUACACACUACAUGGUUUCUUAUCACCAGAACCUCCAAACAGAACUUUGCAUGGCAGAACAUGACCGCUUCUAGGUACAUCUGGAGGUUUCAGCAGAGUUGGUGAAUCCUAUCAAAAUUCAAGGGAGCUAGGUUCUUCUUAUUUUUCAAGAAGUGGGGCCCUUCAGAUUACAAGUCUUCCCUUGGCUCUCCAGGCUCCCUGCUGAUUUACCAGCUGACCUCCUACUCCACCUUUUACAGUCCCUGCUUAUUGAGGUCUGGCCAUUCACAGAAUGUGAUUCCUUUCAUGCUCUAUUGGGAAGAACAGAGCCGAUUAAAUUGUACACAACUUCUGUUUAUUUAUUUUAUUGGACCUCAGAAGGGUGAAAGUCCUUGUUGGGAUUUGAACAUAAUCCUUAAUUGAUUACUAGAUAGCAUUUCAAAAUGCUUUCUUUUAAGUGUGAUGAUCUUGUAGAUCAAAGAGAAAAUGUUACAAUAGAUUUUUCAAUAAUAGUGAAAUUACUUUUACAAUAGUUUUAAUUUCUGUUGUGAAGCUUCAUGCUAAAUAGUGGUGAUAAUUUUUUAAUGAAUUUUACAUUUCUAUUCUGUGCUCCCAUAUAUAAAGAAACCCCUACUUUAUCCUUUUUUUUUUUUUGUCUUUUUGGCACUUUAGUCUUUAGUUUUGUUAUAAAUUCAUAAUGUAUUGUGUGAAGUACCGUCAAUAGCCUGCACAUUAUGUUCAGUCUAAACAGUAUGUAUUGAACUGGUAAUACCUUCGUCAAACGACCUGGUGUGUGUUUCAUGGUUGGAGUACUUUGCCUUCGUAAAGGAUGAAUCCAACAUAAUAUUGUUUACUUGCAUAAAGCCAUACACACCCUCAGUGUAGUACCUUUGGUUUUCUACUAGUUCUUGAUAAUUUUUCCUUGGAAAUCAUCAUUAUUUCUUGAGAUAAAAAUGUACUUUAUCCCAAAAGAAAUUAUAUAUACUCAGUGACAAUUCCAAUACUGUUUUGAAGAGAAUUUGCUUAAGGUUACUCCUGCAACUAUGCUUUUUUUUUUUUUUUUUUUUGACAGGGUGGGGAUUAGCUUUAUUUAGUAAGUGGAAAGAUGUUUGUGAAAUUUAACCUCUUAUUGUCAAAAUAAAAUUUAAAUAAUUUUUAAUGCAUGUUACUAAUUGCUAACAGAAAUGAGAGCUGAAAAAUAUAUUUUGAUUUUUAGUGCACUUUGAGCAUUUCUGCCUAAGAGUGGAUAUUAAGAGUGCCUACAGAUAGAAGCUGUGAUAUCUUUUUGACUACACACAGGCCAAUUUUUAAAGAAAUGGAUUAUAGUAAAUGUAAUUAUCGUAGUACAUUACUGUUGCUUCUUUCAAGGGUCCAUUGAAUAAGUUAAGGGUCAAGUUUGCCUUUGACAAAUUAGAUGCAAUAUUAAUUACUACAGUUAAAAUAUUCCAUUUGGUUACAACUGUUUGCACUACUCUUAUCCUUCAUUUUAAUUUUGAUAUUAUGUGGGUUCAAAUCGUAUCUAUUAGUCUUCGAUUUGUUUUACAACAUGUUUUUUUUACAUGAUUUAAAAAAAAAAAAUUUACAUGGGUUCUUUAAUGAAUAGAGGUUGUUUUAUGUGUAUUUCAGUACUAGAACAUUGACUGCAACUUAAUGUGCCACUUUUGUGAAUGAAAUAAAAGGAGAGCAGGCGAGAAAGAGAAAUAGGGGGUUUGUGUGUACGGAGCGCUAAGCAAAAGAGUAAGAUGCAACAUAAAACUGCUGAAAUGAUGCUCAAUACAACAGAAUACUGUGUCUAUAGUCUACUUUAAUACAAUAGCAUCCAUCAAGGAGUAACAUUUGAAGGAUAUUACAAAAUGUAGGUCACAAGUGAGAACAUCAAAUGUUGGAUAAAUGUGUGACAAAAAAAAAAUGUUCAUAUCAUACCCCAGUUCUUCUAACAUAGAAAUAACAAAAUUUCCGGAUCUUUUCGGUUUGAACGGCAGUUUUUUCUAGCGAUGCCAUAUGAAAUUGUCACCCAUAAUUAUGACCCAAGUAUCGAUCUAUUGCAUUUCAAUCUGUUUUAGGGGUGGGGGGAAGGGUAUCUUUUUUUCUUCACAAAUGUAAAUAAACCCAAUCUGUUUCUUAAACAAGGGACAUAUUCAUACGGCACAGAAUGUUUUUUUUUACCUCAAUAGACGUCAUUGAUUGGUUGAAAUGGCAGAAAUUGAAGAAAGAAAAACAACAAAUAUCUUACAAACUAUAAAAUUUUCUCAAUAAAGCCAAGAGAAAAAGAUGCUGUAUAAACACAUUCUACCAGUAUACGAAGUUUAAAAGUGUUUAGUUUUUCGUGGAAAUUAUUUUAAAAAACUGCCGUUCAAACCGAAAAGAUCCGAAUUUCCAGUUCUGAAGAACUGUAUUGCAAUACAGUGGUUUUGUAAAAUGACAUGAAGUGUCUUUGGUGGUUUAAUAAAUGAAAUACAAUGUGUUCAUUGAUUGUUAAAUGAAGAAUGGUUUCUGUAAAAUGAGUACAAUGUAAUGAGUGAUUGUCAUACAAUGAAAAAAAAAAAAUGUACGUCUGGUAUUCUAAUGGGUUUUUCUUUUUUUUAAUGAAAGCUAUUUUAUUUAAUAUUUUUUCUCUUUCUGCUGUAAACUGUUCUCAACUUCUAUAAAUUCUCCUGAUAUUAUACACGGACAUGCUAUCCAAAUUCUGCGCAAUACUUUACCAUGCCAGUUUCUUAUUCACAUUUUUCUACUUGAUGGCAAGAUGGAUCUACCUUGAGAGUCUGUCCUACUUUCUUCCCAGAUGUUGGGGUUUAUUAUAUUGCAUCCUCAUUGUAUGGACUAUGAAUCUACACAAUAUAUAUACAUAUAUAUAUGUAUGUAUGUAUGUAUAUAUAUAUAAACUUUAAGAUGAAACUUCAGCUAACAUAAAUCUAUAAAUGAAGAUUUAUUAUGUAAUACCAAACAGUAUAAUCUUUAGAAUAUAAAUGAUGUAAAAAUAUGAAAUAUAUUCUUCCAUCCAGAAACAUUAAUUUUCUCACUCAUUUUUUUUUUUUUAAACCAAAAAAAAAAAAAAACUUUGAGUGAAUGUCUGAACAUUGAGAUCCUUAAAGUUGUCUCCCCCAACCCCUACCUUCCACCUUUUCUCACUUUUGAACCUGAAAAAGUCACCACAAAAGAAUAACAGCGUACUCAUGUAUCAAUAUAUUUUCAGAAACGAUCUUUAUAACAAUCUCACUGCACCCAUUCACUCAAUUUCAGAAUAUGGCAAUAUGAAAUGUAUCUUAAAAGUGCCAUCUUUAUAUCAAAGUGAAAAAAAAAAAAGAAAAAAAGAGAAAAUUGAUCUUGAUUUCUUAAAAUAAUCUCUAUUUUCAAAAUUGAAAAAAAAAAAAACAGACAAAACGUAACUCUCCUAAUAUCUACAACUUUUUUAACCUAUCAUGUGAACAGCUAGUUGUGUAUGAUUCUUAUGAUUCAAUUAAAGUUUGGAUUGUCUCUAACUUGGUCAGUAAAUUCAAAAUUUACUCUUGCCACAUCAACACCUCUUCUUUAUAUUCGAGUGAGCACUGCAGAGUAAAGAACUGCAGGUGGCUUUGCAUGACUGCUUUUCAGUCCCUUGUUAUAGUCAUUUAAUUUCACUCAACUUUACCAAUGUGCUGUGUGGCAAAAGACAAGUAUGCCACAUGACCAAACAUCCUUCUCCAUGUACUAUAAAAAAAUAUAUCAAACAAACCUGAAACUUCAGUUUGAAAUAAAUGAAUUCCAGAUAAGAUUCUUAA
rnacentral:lncRNA from 1 species